UACGUAGGGAGCAAGCGUUGUCCGGAAUCAUUGGGCGUAAAGCGCGCGUAGGCGGCCCUGUAAGUCCGUUGUGAAAGUCAAAGGCUCAACCUUUGAAAGCCGAUGGAUACUGCAGGGCUAGAGUCCGGAAGAGGCGAGUGGAAUUCCGGGUGUAGCGGUGGAAUGCGUAGAGAUCCGGAAGAACACCGGUGGCGAAGGCGGCCCGCUGGGCUGUGGCUGACGCUGAGGCGCGACAGCGUGGGGAGCAAACAGG
rnacentral:rRNA from 1 species